AAUGAACGCUGGCGGCAUGCCUAACACAUGCAGGUCGAACGACAGCACACUAAGAGCUUGCUCUUAAGGGUGGCGGGUGGCGGGCGGGUGACGAGUGCAUCGGCAUCUUCUUUUUCGGGGAGGAUCUCGUAGUGACGCUUACGCUCAUACAUCAUAUGCUGUACCGGUGAAAGCAGUGGAACUUCUGACCUUGCGCGAUUGACUGAGCCGCUGUCGGAUUAGCUAGUUGGCGGGGUAAAGGCCCACCAAGGCGAGGAUCCGUAGCUGGACUGACAGGAUGAUCGGCCACACGGGAACUGAGACACGGUCCAGACUCCUACGGGAGGCAGCAGUGGGGAAUGUUAGGCAAUGGGCGCAAGCCUGACCCAGCCAGACCGCGUGGGUGAAGAAGGCCUUCGGUUCGUAAAGCCCUUUUUUUGGGAAAGAACAGCUGUAGGCUAAGACCAAGCUGUUGUGACGGUACCUAAAGAAGAAGCACCGGCUAACUACGUG
rnacentral:rRNA from 1 species